rnacentral:rRNA from 1 species
AUUGGAGGGCAAGUCUGGUGCCAGCAGCCGCGGUAAUUCCAGCUCCAAUAGCGUAUAUUAAAGUUGUUGCAGUUAAAAAGCUCGUAGUUGAACCUUAGGCCUGGCUGGCCGGUCCGCCUCACCGCGUGUACUGGUCCGGCCGGGCCUUUCCUUCUGGGGAGCCGCAUGCCCUUCACUGGGCGUGUCGGGGAACCAGGACUUUUACUUUGAAAAAAUUAGAGUGUUCAAAGCAGGCCUUUGCUCGAAUACAUUAGCAUGGAAUAAUAGAAUAGGACGUGCGGUUCUAUUUUGUUGGUUUCUAGGACCGCCGUAAUGAUUAAUAGGGAUAGUCGGGGGCAUCAGUAUUCAAUUGUCAGAGGUGAAAUUCUUGGAUUUAUUGAAGACUAACUACUGCGAAAGCAUUUGCCAAGGAUGUUCUCAUUAAUCAGUGAACGAAAGUUAGGGGAUCGAAGACGAUCAGAUACCGUCGUAGUCUUAACCAUAAACUAUGCCGACUAGGGAUCGG